GAUGAACGCUGGCGGCGUGCUUAACACAUGCAAGUCGAGCGAGUGAGUUCUUCGGAACGAUCUAGCGGCGGACGGGUGAGUAACACGUGGGCAACCUGCCUCAUAGAGGGGAAUAGCCUCCCGAAAGGGAGAUUAAUACCGCAUAAAAUUAUCGAGUGGCAUCACAUGAUAAUCAAAGGAGUAAUCCGCUAUGAGAUGGGCCCGCGGCGCAUUAGCUAGUUGGUGAGGUAACGGCUCACCAAGGCGACGAUGCGUAGCCGACCUGCGAGGGUGAUCGGCCACAGUGGGAGUGAUACACGGCCCAGACUCCGACGGGAGGCAGCAGUGGGGAAUAUUGCACAAUGGGGGAAACCCUGAUGCGGCAACGCCGCGUGGGUGAUGAAGGUCUUCGGAUUGUAAAGCUCUGUCUUUGGGGACGAUAAUGACGGUACCCAAGGAGGAAGCCACGGCUAACUACGUGCCAGCCGCCGCCGUAA
rnacentral:rRNA from 1 species